GCCCGCAUGGCUCAGUGGUAGAGCGUGUCACUAGUAAACUCUAGAGCAUGACAAGGUCGUCAGUUCGAUUCUGGCUGUGGGCA